rnacentral:ribozyme from 1 species
UUUUUUUUUUUUUUUUUUUUUUUUUUUUUUUUUUUUUUCUUCUAAAU